rnacentral:rRNA from 1 species
AUUGAACGCUGGCGGCAGGCCUAACACAUGCAAGUCGAACGGUAACAGGAAACAGCUUGCUGUUUCGCUGACGAGUGGCGGACGGGUGAGUAAUGUCUGGGAAACUGCCUGAUGGAGGGGGAUAACUACUGGAAACGGUAGCUAAUACCGCAUAACGUCGCAAGACCAAAGAGGGGGACCUUCGGGCCUCUUGCCAUCGGAUGUGCCCAGAUGGGAUUAGCUUGUUGGUGGGGUAACGGCUCACCAAGGCGACGAUCCCUAGCUGGUCUGAGAGGAUGACCAGCCACACUGGAACUGAGACACGGUCCAGACUCCUACGGGAGGCAGCAGUGGGGAAUAUUGCACAAUGGGCGCAAGCCUGAUGCAGCCAUGCCGCGUGUAUGAAGAAGGCCUUCGGGUUGUAAAGUACUUUCAGCGGGGAGGAAGGGAGUAAAGUUAAUACCUUUGCUCAUUGACGUUACCCGCAGAAGAAGCACCGGCUAACUCCGUGCCAGCAGCCGCGGUAAUACGGAGGGUGCAAGCGUUAAUCGGAAUUACUGGGCG